rnacentral:tRNA from 1 species
UCCUCGGUAGUAUAGUGGUGAGUAUCCCCGCCUGUCACGCGGGAGACCGGGGUUCGAUUCCCUGUCGGGGAG